AUGACCAAGCUCAAUCUUGAUGGUUCUGUGAACAAACAUAAGACAAGGCUUGUUGUCAAGGACUAUACCCGGAUGUUUGGGGUAGAUUUCUCUAAAACUUUUGCCCCAGUUGCCAGUGUGGAUUAUUUUGCAUUUUUAAUCUCUGCCAGAGCAUUGGAUCCUGUAGUCUUACCAUCAAAAGCAAGCCAUGCUGUCAAGCAGCGACUUUUAAAUUUGUACGAUCACUAUCAAUGGUUCUGGCAUUUAUCUAUUGUUUGUCAAGCUUAAUUCUACAAGCAUAAAAAUUCUUUACUGAGGUUAAGUGACUCAAGUGAUGCAAUAAAUGUGGGCUUCAAUUUUACUGGGAAAGCUAUUUAUUCUGCAGUAUGGAUUGUUGUUGUAGUGUAAUUGUUUAUUGAGUUGUUGGGAUUCUCUGCCUAGAAAUGGGUAACUGCUGGGGGUCUUGGAACAGUAUUGCUGACCCUCACAGUUUGCGAGAUAUUUACAAACUUCCUUUCGACUGUAAUGAUCAAUUCUACACGGCCACUUGUUGUGAAUGAGUGGAUUUAAACUAGAUUGAAGGCUAUGAAGUUUUUGGUACAGUCCUUCAUGUGCGUUGGUGGUCAUCAACUAUUAUAAAAGGAGAUGAUCGUGAAGCAGUUCACAUUCCGAAUCACAAAUUCACUGUAAAUGUUGUGAGGAAUCUUAGCUAGAAGACUCGUGCAAAUCAAGACCCGUCUAGCUAUCAGGCUUUGAUAUCUUGCUUUGUCAAAACCUCACGUUUUAACGAGUACCUCUGUGUCAAGGAAGCGAUGCUCUUGGAUCUUCUAAGAGUCAUUCAGCCAUCAACGAUUCGGCUUGCCACACUCAUCCGCACGGUUCAAAAAAUAUACAGUGAGGCUAACCUGGAAAAUGUACUAUUCUUAAAUAGAAUUUUUACUCGUAACAGGGAAAUUGUGAACCGACCAUAUCUACUUAUUGAACCAUCUUACAAAAUAAAUGGUGAUGAUAAAAGUAAGGCUUCAACUAGUCCAAUAUAUACAAAUGAAGACAAAAAGGCUCAGCCUGAAGGAGCCUCAACAUCUGACUCCAGGGAAGAUUUGAAGCGUGGAUCAUUGUCGAGUGUUGAUUUAAAAAUUGAUGAUCAGGUUCAAGUGAAAUUUAGCGCCAACUCCAACACAAUCUCUAAGCAUUCAGAAAUAUCAACAUCCAAUCCUCAAAUCAGGAAUUUGGCAUCUGAAUCUCACAAGCAUGAUAGUACAGAUAAAUCAACACAAAGAGCAACAUCAAAGAUACCCCCUAUUAUGUCUGAAUCUAGCAAUGGGAAGAGAGAUAUUAAAUCAUCUGUUUCACACUCAAAGCAAGAUGGCGACAACAUUCAAUGUAAUAAUAUUGCAGGUACUAGGUUUAACUUCAAAAUUCAACACCGCUAGCCGAUU